rnacentral:rRNA from 1 species
UACGUAGGUGACAAGCGUUGUCCGGAUUUACUGGGCGUAAAGAGCGCGCAGGCGGUCGUUCAAGUCGCGUGUGAAAGCCCCCGGCUCAACUGGGGAGGGUCACGCGAUACUGAUCGACUCGAAGGCAGGAGAGGGUAGUGGAAUUCCCGGUGUAGUGGUGAAAUGCGUAGAUAAUCGGGAGGAACACCAGUGGCGAAGGCGACUACCUGGCCUGUUCUUGACGCUGAGGCGCGAAAGCUAGGGGAGCAAACGGGG